rnacentral:rRNA from 1 species
UGGGGAAUAUUGCACAAUGGAGGGAACUCUGAUGCAGCGACGCCGCGUGAACGAAGAAGGCUUUCGAGUCGUAAAGUUCUUUUAUAUGGGAAGAUAAUGACGGUACCAUAAGAAAAAGCCCCGGCUAACUACGUGCCAGCAGCCGCGGUAAUACGUAGGGGGCUAGCGUUGUCCGGAAUCACUGGGCGUAAAGGGUUCGCAGGCGGAAAUGCAAGUCAGGUGUAAAAGGCAGUAGCUUAACUACUGUAAGCAUUUGAAACUACAUAUCUUGAGAAGAGUAGAGGUAAGUGGAAUUUUUAGUGUAGCGGUGAAAUGCGUAUAUAUUAAAAAGAAUACCGGUGGCGAAGGCGACUUACUGGGCUCAUUCUGACGCUGAGGAACGAAAGCGUGGGUAGCAAACAGG